AUUGAACGCUAGCGGGGUGCCUUACACAUGCAAGUCGAACGGAGUGGCGAACGGGUGAGUAAUGAACCGGAACGUGCCCAGUAGCGGGGGAUAACUAAGCGAAGGCGAAGCUAAUACCGCAUACUAUUGGAGCGGCCGAUAACGGAUUAGCGAGUUGGUGAGGUAACGGCUCACCAAGGCGACGAUCCAAAGCAGGUUUGAGAGGACGACCAGCCACACUGGGACUGAGACACGGCCCAGACUCCUACGGGAGGCAGCAGUGGGGAAUCUUCGACAAUGGGCGAAAGCCUGAUCGAGCCAUCCCGCGUGUGCGAUGAAGGCCUUCGGGUUGUAAAGCACUUUUGGCAGGAAAGCGGUACCUGCACAGUAAGCACCGGCUAACUACGUGCCAGCAGCCGCGGUAAUUC
rnacentral:rRNA from 1 species